ensembl:misc_RNA Metazoa_SRP Metazoan signal recognition particle RNA
GCCGGGCGCGGUGGCGCGCGCCUGUAGUCCCAGCUACUCGGGAGGCUGAGGCUGGAGGAUCGCUUGAGCUCAGGAGUUCUGGGCUGCAGUGCGCUAUGCCGAUCGGGUGUCCGCACUAAGUUCGGCAUCAAUAUGGUGACCUCCCGGGAGCGGGGGACCACCAGGUUGCCUAAGGAGGGGUGAACCGGCCCAGGUCGGAAACGGAGCAGGUCAAAACUCCCGUGCUGAUCAGUAGUGGGAUCGCGCCUGUGAAUAGCCACUGUACUCCAGCCUGGGCAACAUAGCGAGACCCCGUCUCUA